GUGAUUGGUCGGCUGCGGACGAGGCUGUCGUCUCGACCAAUUAGAGGCCUCGAGGCUCCAGCGCGAGUGGAGUGCGCGGAGUGAGCGAACGCGCCCGGCAGAGGUACCACUCGCGAGAAUUUGUUGGUUGCACAAACAAGAUGGAGGAAACACAAGGCAAACAGGAUGAGAAGCCAACACAGCAAGAGUGUCGAGCAGAGUUGCGCGAGAGAUUCCUGUGGGCGAUUACAUCUUUGGUCGGAAAGGAAGCCACCAUCAAGAUGCACGAGAAGACGCAUGCGACUGGCGUGUUCCGUG
rnacentral:misc_RNA from 1 species